GACGAACCGUGCGAACGUUGUUCGGAAUCACUGGGCUUAAAGGGCGCGUAGGCGGGCUGUCAAGUCUGGGGUGAAAUGCCGCGGCUCAACCGUGGAACUGCCUUAGAUACUGACGGCCUCGAGGGAGGUAGGGGCGUGCGGAACUGUAGGUGGAGCGGUGAAAUGCGUUGAUAUCUGAAGGAACAUCAGUGGCGAAAGCGACUUCCUGGACGAAUACUGACGCUCAUGUGCGAAAGCGUGGGGAGCAAACAGG
rnacentral:rRNA from 1 species